GACGAACGCUGGCGGCGUGCUUAACACAUGCAAGUCGAACGGAAAGGCCCUGCUUUUGUGGGGUGCUCGAGUGGCGAACGGGUGAGUAACACGUGAGUAACCUGCCCUUGACUUUGGGAUAACUUCAGGAAACUGGGGCUAAUACCGUAUAGGAGCUCCUGCUGCAUGGUGGGGGUUGGAAAGUUUCGGCGGUUGGGGAUGGACUCGCGGCUUAUCAGCUUGUUGGUGGGGUAGUGGCUUACCAAGGCUUUGACGGGUAGCCGGCCUGAGAGGGUGACCGGCCACAUUGGGACUGAGAUACGGACCAGACUCCUACGGGAGGCAGCAGUGGGGAAUAUUGCCCAAUGGGCGGAAGCCUGAUGCAGCAACGCCGCGUGCGGGAUGACGGCCUUCGGGUUGUAAACCGCUUUCGCCUGUGACGAAGCGUGAGUGACGGUAAUGGGUAAAGAAGCACCGGCUAACUACGUG
rnacentral:rRNA from 1 species